UGGAUCAAUGAAGACCACAGAUGAUGUAUGAACCGGGUCAUGACUACAGGUCUGGGAGUCUGAGGCUCAU
ensembl:snoRNA small nucleolar RNA SNORD113/SNORD114 family